GAUGAACGCUGGCGGCGUGCCUAAUACAUGCAAGUCGAGCGAAUGGAUUAAGAGCUUGCUCUUAUGAAGUUAGCGGCGGACGGGUGAGUAACACGUGGGUAACCUGCCCAUAAGACUGGGAUAACUCCGGGAAACCGGGGCUAAUACCGGAUAACAUUUUGAACCGCAUGGUUAGAAAUUGAAAGGCAGCUUCGGCUGUCACUUAUGGAUGGACCCGCGUCGCAUUCGCUAGUUGGUGAGGUAACGGCUCACCCAGGCAACGAUGCGUAGCCGACCUGAGAGGGUGAUCGGCCACACUGGGACUGAGACACGGCCCAGACUCCUACGGGAGGCAGCAGUAGGGAAUCUGCCGCAAUGGACGAAAGUCUGACGGAGCAACGCCGCGUGAGUGAUGAAGGCUUUCGGGUCGUAAAACUCUGUUGUUAGGGAAGAACAAGUGCUAGUUGAAUAAGCUGACACCUUGACGGUACCUAACCAGAAAGCCACGGCUAACUACGUGCCAGCCGCCGCAGUAA
rnacentral:rRNA from 1 species